rnacentral:rRNA from 1 species
UUGAUUUCUUCGGAAUGAAGUUUUUGUGACUGAGUGGCGGACGGGUGAGUAACGCGUGGGUAACCUGCCUCAUACAGGGGGAUAACGCAUCGAAAGAUGUGCUAAUACCGCGUAAGACCACAGCUUCACAUGGAGCAGGGGCCAAAGGAGCAAUCCGGAUAAAGAUGGGCUCGCGUCCGAUUAGCUAGUUGGUGGGGUAACGGCCUACCAAGGCGACGAUCAGUAGCCGACCUGAGAGGGUGAUCGGCCACAUUGGAACUGAGACACGGUCCAAACUCC